CAGGGAUUGAACCUGCCUUUCCUACCUUGGCAGGUGGAUUCUUUACCACUGAGCCACUUGGGAAUCCCUGGAAGGUAACUCUAUGCUCACCACUGUACCACCAACAUGCUGACUUUGGGGCAUGGAUCAUCCAUAGGAGGUGCUCAGUUCACUGGCUCACUCCGCAGGCAGGCAGGGACACAGCCACAGCUGUUCAGGGACCUUCCUCUGGGAUGGGGUGAUGACCUCCUUGGAACAGGUCUACAUUCCCUGGACUGGAGCCAACAGUGAUGAUCUGUAGCGGGACCCCAGGCCCCUUGCCUCUCCUGAGGUCAGCGUCCGUUGGUGCAGCUGUUGCUGUUAAUGCCAGAUGCCAUCUGGCAGGGGCGCUCCCAUCCUGACUGUUUUCAUUUCUGUUUUUCUGUAUCUUCAAUGCUUUAUUUUCCAG
ensembl:lncRNA